GUGGAUAGAGCUCAGUGGUAGAGCACCUGCUUAGCAUGUACAAGGUCCUGGGUUCAAUCCCCUGUACCUCCA
rnacentral:tRNA from 1 species